UCUGCCCCUAGAGGCGUUGCAGGUGGGGCUGCUGUGCUGCAGAUGCAUCAGUAGGUGGCAGAGGAGAGAGGCCUUGUCUUCACUCAGUGUUCUGACCUAUGAGCAUCUGAAUGAUUAGCAGUCUACCAUU